GUAUAUAAAGCUAAUACUAUGAAGCGCUGGUCUUGUAAACCAGAAACAGAAUAACAUUCUAUAUACA
rnacentral:tRNA from 1 species